UUAUUUACUACGGAUAAUACUGUUUUUAUAAUCAAGGCAAACUGGUAAAAUUCCUUAUAUAUGAACAAAUAUUCCUUGUAAAACUUCUCCUACUGCUUCAUAAACUUCCUCUGUAUCUUCGAAUUCUCCGGCACUGUUAUCCAAUAUGUCUGUGAAUUGUAACAUAUCUUUGUUUUAAUAUAAAUAAAAUGAGAGUCACAGAUACUA